AGCAUUAUGAUCAUCUUCUUCUAGUUUUCUUUUUUCUUUGAUAUAAGCAGAGUAGCCAUCCUAUCUGACAAUAAAGUGUUAAUGUAUUGAUGGUUAUUUUUUGAGAGAAGUUUAUAUGCUUGCUUACUUUAUGCAGGUUCCUAGAAGUACAUCCAUGCAGGUGUUUUUGUUCCUCAUUCAGUGGUUGAAGAAAAAUGAAUGAAAGGUUACCAUUGUCAUCAUCACUGAAAGACCUCAGAUCCGCAAUGAUGUCUUCGGGAGGGGCAGUGAAGCCGGUGAAUGAAAAGGAGAAGCCCAGACUGGCACUGGAAGCUCUGCUCAAGGCGGCACCGCUGCUCACAUCCUCCAAGUCUAGCUUCAGCUGUCCGCUCCGUGACUUCCGACUGUGGUGCCCGACUUUCCUCCCCGGUGAAGUUCCCACUGUUUUCUUCCCGAAGCUCGACUUCCUGGAUAAGCUCGGCUCCCCAUUAGUGUUUGAGGUCAGAAUCGUUUCAGCAGAGGCCGUGCGGCUUAUCGACUGUGACGCUGCAACCUUCUCCAGUUGGUCCGACUUUGUCCUACCGAUCAUCGAUGUAACCGAAUCCAUCUUUCAACACAACGGUACUGCUGUUAGUUAUCUGCAUUCGACGGUCAGUCAGAUACUCCCACAUGCUUGAUUCAAAAAGGAGACAUGGAGAAUUCAGAUCUAUUUCCAUUUCAGACUGAGUUAAAAGGACAAGAAGGCGCCAACUCCCUUUUUUUUUUUUUUUUAAUCUUUCCUGAUGCAGUGAUGUCACCUAUCAAACUAUUAGUCUUUUUGUUUUCUCCUGUGUGUGUGUGUGUGUGUAAGGA